GGCCGCUGCUGAGCUGCCUCCCGUUCUAUUUCUGGAUUUAAAGGAGUGACAGUAUUCUCACUCGACUCAUAAGAAAAUCCCUUCAGUCCAACGUGUGGAGCCGACUGGGAUCAGGAUGCAGUCAUUACAUUAAAGUGAAGAUCACAUCCUGGGUGGAUGUGAAACGGAAAGAGAGAUAAAAGUCGUACGAGGACGACGACAACAACAACAACUUCACUGAGUUACUGCCCAUAACUGAAAGAUUACAGAUUCAAACUGUGACAAGACAUUAGUCAGAGAAACAACUGAAGGACUUUCCACUGAACUGGGACACGAGUCAGGGAAGAACUUUAACAUUCGAGCGGUUGGACCACGCUGUGUGUACGAGGGAGGAGAGAUUAUCGACUCCACCACAUCUGCUUGUGUUCCUGCUGCAGAAUACAAGCAGUGUCGUCGCAGGAGAGGAGCGAGGAGUCGUCAUGGCGGUGAACAACAACAACACAGCCGGUGCUGCCGGUGCUGCCAGGGCUGCCCCGGCUGAACCUGAGCGGCCAGGACACUGUGCCACUGUCACGCUGCGGGAACAAGGGGGAAACUGGGGCAUCUAUAUCUGCACCACCCUGUGAUUAUGAAAAGAUUACGCAACCGCACAGCAUGCUUUACAUAACCAGCCUUACAUAACAUCCCUGCACUCCUUCUGUUUACACCCUUUGUUCCCAAAUUGAAGCAUUUAAUUCCCCCCCCCGCCGCCCAUGACAUCUGCCUGGAACCCAAUCAACUGUGUGAUGUGGCUCCGACACUUCAUCUCGACCCCAUGCUGUGUUUUACAUCCUCAGAGUCACUGGGAGCUCACUUUAUUAUUAUUUAACUCACACUGUGACGCGGAUGUAAAUCUGAGCGUGAACGAGGUGGAUGGUGUUUUUACACAUGUAACUUAUUAUGGGAUGUGCCCCGAGUUAUUAGAAGUGACAGGAUAUUCACAGUAUAUAUAUUCAUAUAAGUGUUCCCUAUAAUUCUUGGCUUUAAUUGAUUGGAUUUGUAAAGUUUGACUUGCUUCAGUGGACUUUAUUAUCAAGGAGGAGAAGAGGAUCAGAAACUGAAACGGUUUAUUACAGGAUACCUUUCUGAUUUAUUCUUAUCUUUUAAGAUAAUAUUGAAACAAAUG